AGCAAACCCAUUUCUUUUGUUCUGUAUUUGUUGUUUCUUGUUUUGUGUGUGUAAUGUAUGUAUGUAUGUAAAAAAUGUAAUUAUAUGUUACGCCCGUUAUUGAGUUAACGGUUGUUUUGUAAAUAGGGAGAUUUUAUUUUGAAAAUCACUACAUCGCACUGACUCCUUGUGUGGCGUUGCCGGGGAAACCAAAAAACUGUUGGGAUAGAAAGGAAUUAACGGCAAACGAGAAAAGUAAGUUACAGGAGAAAAUUUUUUAAGACAGCAAAACAGAAACGACACAACAUCUAAAUUGAUUAUUGCAACCCCCCGAGGAGGCACAAGUUCUCACGUUGGUUCAUAGAGCUGGUUUAUGGAUCGGCAAUAAACCUUUAAAACCAUCA